GGUCCUGUGUGGCUCAACUGGUAGAGCCUAGGAUUAACACUACCGGGGUAAGGGGUUCGAUUCCCACUGGGGCCA